CUACUGUGGACAGUUUCAGUAAUUACUUUAUCUGGGACUCGACUACGUCAUUUUAUAGAGUUACAGAGUUUGCAGAAUAUGGCAUGGGUGACUGGAGCCUUAUCAUACAUUUACUUCUUUCUUGGUGAACUAAGCCCUGUAGAUAAUACUGACGUUUAGGCAUUCUUAAACUUUCACUCAUCAUUCGAACAAGAGAAAUUUUUUGCCUUUAGCGUCCCUUUCAGAUGAAGAAAAUUUGUUCCUUUGUGAUUGAAUGCCUGACUUCAUUUUCUAAGCUGUGCUCUGUGGAAACACAUACUUCGGCAAAAUGAAAGCUAAUGCGGGCAGCUGGUGAAAAUUUACUUUUCCAACUGUAAAUAAAUUUUAUGUGAUUGUAUUACAAUGUAAGAUGUUCCUAAUGCAUUAACAAAUAGUUCAUAUUCUGAACAUUCCCUAGAAAACAGCAUCAUUUCUCGUAAAAGUCUAAAUGUUUGCUAUGGCAAAGUUUGAUUCCAUUAGACUGGCUGCAGUUUGAGGCAGCAGUUCAGCAUGGCCUGUAUUAGUUUCAUGCUGUCUAAGUCUCUGGGCAGAGCCUGACCGCUACAGAGCGCGUUCUCGGGUGGCGGAUAGAGAAACGUUCCAUGAUGUGAAGUUGCACAAAGCUGCUUCAUAUCAUGGUACAGGCAGUUAUGCCCGCGGACCAACAGGCAUAUAGUCAUGGUUUAUAUUAGUGACAACAAUAUUUUUGCUGCUGUUAGCGGCCAGUAAUUUUUACACAUCACCCAAAUUUAAGUCAGUGCAUAUACUUAGACAUUGUGAUGUGCGUGUAACAUCAGUGCAGUGCUCAUGUUGGUUACCAUUCACGAGACCAUAACAAGGACCUGCUGCCAGCCAUCAUGUCCUGGUCCUGACCUGCCUUUGGGAGGCUGACUCAGCCGUCUAGGUUGGCGAGCGGGUUCCUGCCACGAUGGUGCAGUGACCAGCCACCAUGGUGCAUGCGAAGUGGUUCAUUGCAGAUGGGACCCGUCUUCUAAAGCUGCACAGGUUCGGAGGUGCCAGUUAGCUUGCCAGUAUUCAUUCAAAUGUUAUGACUGGCAGUGCAAGGACCAAGUCUGCAAUAGACGCUCAUUGGCGUACCAGCCAAAUGUGGUACGCGUCCAGCAGAAACGCAAGAGGUGUCUGGGUGUGCUGCAGGGAACACGCAGCAGCGUUGCUGGGACAGACAAUUUGUGUUUGAGGAGAGGCGCAUGCACGGACCGAGGAUAUGAAAAGCGCGUUGCGUGUGCAUUCAGGGCUCUCUCUGUGGCUUUCGUUACGGCCAGUCCUGUCUCCUGUAAAAGCGCAUCUCGACGCCUUGUGUUUUUUACAAUUGUAAAUAUGUAAAUAAAUCGUGUGUUUCUGUCGUCAA
rnacentral:lncRNA from 1 species